rnacentral:rRNA from 1 species
GCGUUCGCAAUUCCAAAAUUAUUGUUAAGUGAAAAUAAGGUAGUGUUUAUCCAAGCCAACCAGGAAAUGGGCUUAGGAGCGGCCAUUUUUUAAAGAUCUCGUAACAGAGCACUGGUUUUAUACAUUUUUGUAUGUAUUGUUAGAUGCACCUAAAAUUUAACGGAUCUAAAUAAUAUACCGAGACCUUGUCCAUAAAUAUUUAUAUGUACAAGUUACAUAUAAUAUUUAUGGGGUAGCGGAACAUUGGGCAUAUCUCAGAUUUUUUCUUUUUAAGACUUAAGAUUAGAUGACCCAAGUGAUAAUGCUGACAUGAGUAACGAUAAAGGGUUUAUACCCUCGCCUAAAGCUUAUGGAAUUUACUUAAAGUAACGGCCUCUAAGUUUAAAUUUGCUAUAGUUUAAACAAACAACACUUGAUACCUAACUCUAACAGACGAUACAAGUGCAAAAUAGUAAACACCUAAUGGUAUAAACGAUGAGAAAAAGCUAAGUUUUACAGAUAUAAAUAGCAUGAGUGUUGCAGGUAGGUAUUAUAUAUAUAAUGGAUUUUUUUUUUUAUUCUUUUUUGUAAAUAAAAUAAUUAAUAGAAACUAGAAAAAUUAUAGAUUUAAUAGUUAUUUUGUGCUAAAGUGACAAAUGCUCUGGAAAAAUGUAAAACUACUGACGUGUUAGAGAGUAGGCGAGGUUCAAUCCCUUGUCCAUUAAUAAGCAAUUACCGUACCU